rnacentral:tRNA from 1 species
UCCCGUGUGGCUCAGUUGGUAGAGCAUGGUGUUUGCAUUGCCAGGUUUGUGGGUUCAAUUCCCACAGGGGAC